rnacentral:rRNA from 1 species
AGUCGAACGAGAAUCUGUGGAUCGAGGAUUCGUCCAAGUGAAGCAGAGGACAGUGGCGGACGGGUGAGUAACGCGUGAGGAACCUGCCUUUCAGAGGGGGACAACAGUUGGAAACGACUGCUAAUACCGCAUGAUACAUUUGGGUGGCAUCAUCUGAAUGUCAAAGAUUUAUCGCUGAAAGAUGGCCUCGCGUCUGAUUAGCUGGUUGGUGAGGUAACGGCCCACCAAGGCGACGAUCAGUAGCCGGACUGAGAGGUUGACCGGCCACAUUGGGACUGAGAUGCGGCCCAGACUCCUACGGGAGGCAGCAGUGGGGAAUAUUGGGCAAUGGGCGCAAGCCUGACCCAGCAACGCCGCGUGAAGGAAGAAGGCUUUCGGGUUGUAAACUUCUUUUAAGAGGGAAGAGCAGAAGACUGUACCUCUAGAAUAAGCCACGGCUAACUACGUGCCAGCAGCCGCGGUAAUACGUAGGUGGCAAGCGUUGUCCGGAUUUACUGGGUGUAAAGGGCGUGCAGCCGGGAAUGCAAGUCAGAUGUGAAAUCCAUGGGCUUAACCCAUGAACUGCAUUUGAAACUGUAUUUCUUGAGUACUGGAGAGGCAAUCGGAAUUCCUAGUGUAGCGGUGAAAUGCGUAGAUAUUAGGAGGGACACCAGUGGCGAAGGCGGAUUGCUGGACAGCAACUGACGGUGAGGCGCGAAAGUGUGGGGAGCAAACAGGAUUAGAUACCCUGGUAGUCCACACUGUAAACGAUGAAUACUAGGUGUGCGGGGACUGACCCCCUGCGUGCCGCA